GCCAGUAGUAAUGUUAGUGAGUAGUAGUAGUAGUGAGCGUCUUCGAAACUGUCUUGUCUGCAACUUGAAAAUGGAUAAGAGGAAAAAACACCCAGGUGGAGCUGAGAGACAGCUAUUAAAAAAGUUGAAGUCUCUGGAGGUGGAGGCUUCUAAAUGUGCGAAGUUGACGGACCUUUUUGGUGCCGGGACCACCAAGCCGCCAGCAGCCACAGGUGCUGCUGCACCGGGAGAUGACGGAGGAGGACCUAAUGAUGAUGAGCGAGUGAAGACAGACACGUGGUGUGUAUGGCAAGGGGCUGGAGCUGUCACCUUCUGCUGAAUCAUCUGGGUCUGAGGCUCCUCCAUCCUCUCCGGAUAGGCUGAGGUUGUCUGGUGUGUUUUCAUCACCACCAUCGAGAUCACCAAGGGAACCUGCGGGAGAAAGAGUUGUACUUAUAUCAGUUAGGUCCACUGUAUUCUGCUCCCCUGAGGAUAACUUAGAUUCCAAUGACAUCUGAAUAAAGAAAAAGGGAAAAUGAA